rnacentral:rRNA from 1 species
AUUCCUACGGGAGGCAGCAGUGAGGAAUAUUGGUCAAUGGACGAGAGUCUGAACCAGCCAAGUAGCGUGAAGGAUGACUGCCCUAUGGGUUGUAAACUUCUUUUAUAAGGGAAUAAAGUGAGGGACGUGUCCCUUUUUGUAUGUACCUUAUGAAUAAGGAUCGGCUAACUCCGUGCCAGCAGCCGCGGUAAUACGGAGGAUCCAAGCGUUAUCCGGAUUUAUUGGGUUUAAAGGGAGCGUAGGUUGACAUAUAAGUCAGCUGUGAAAGUUUACGGCUCAACCGUGAAAUUGCAGUUGAUACUGUAUGUCUUGAGUGUACAAGAGGUGGGCGGAAUUCGUGGUGUAGCGGUGAAAUGCUUAGAUAUCACGAAGAACUCCAAUUGCGAAGGCAGCUCACUGGGGUACAACUGACACUGAGGCUCGAAAGUGUGGGUAUCAAACAGGAUUAGAUACCCUGGUAGUCCACACAGUAAACGAUGAAUACUCGCUGUUUGCGAUAUACAGUAAGCGGCCAAGCGAAAGCAUUAAGUAUUCCACCUGGGGAGUACGCCGGCAACGGUGAAACUCAAAGGAAUUGACGGAAU